rnacentral:rRNA from 1 species
AUUGAACGCUGGCGGUAUGCUUAACACAUGCAAGUCGAACGAUGAGAAAGAGCUUGCUCUUUCGAUUAGUGGCGGACGGGUGCGUAACGCGUAGGAAUCUACCUAUUAGUGGGGGACAACUUAGGGAAACUUAAGCUAAUACCGCAUACGCCCUACGGGGGAAAGAAGGGGAUCGCAAGACCUUUUGCUAACAGAUGCGCCGGCGUAGGAUUAGCUAGUUGGUGGGGUAAAAGCUCACCAAGGCGACGAUCCUUAACUGGUUUGAGAGAAUGAUCAGUCACACUGGAACUGAGACACGGUCCAGACUCCUACGGGAGGCAGCAGUGGGGAAUAUUGGACAAUGGGCGAAAGCCUGAUCCAGCAAUACCGCGUGUGUGAAGAAGGCCUUAGGGUUGUAAAGCACUUUCAAUUGGAAGGAAAACCUCGAAGCUAAUACCUUCGAGUUUGACAUUACCUUUAGAAGAAGCACCGGCUAACUCCGUGCCAGCAGCCGCCGUAA